rnacentral:rRNA from 1 species
UACGGAGGGUGCAAGCGUUAUCCGGAUUCACUGGGUUUAAAGGGUGUGUAGGUGGGCAAGUAAGUCAGUGGUGAAAUCUCCGGGCUUAACCCGGAAACUGCCAUUGAUACUAUUUGUCUUGAAUACUGUGGAGGUCAGCGGAAUAUGUCAUGUAGCGGUGAAAUGCUUAGAUAUGACAUAGAACACCAAUUGCGAAGGCAGCUGGCUGCACAAAUAUUGACACUGAGGCACGAAAGCGUGGGGAUCAAACAGG